AGCAGCCGUGGUAAUUCCAGCUCCAAUAGCGUAUAUUAAAGUUGUUGCAGUUAAAAAGCUCGUAGUUAAAUUUCGGGAUCGAAUUGUUGGUCGUGCUUCGGUACGCACUGGCAUUAUCGGUUCCUACCUUCUGAAGAACCGCGAUGUCAUUAAUUUGGUGUCGUGGGGAAUCAGGACUGUUACUUUGAAAAAAUUAGAGUGUUUAAAGCAGGCGCACGCUUGAAUACAUUAGCAUGGAAUAAUAAAAUAGGACGUUUGAUUCUAUUUUGUUAGUUUCUAGGAUCGAUGUAAUGAUUAAUAGGGAUAGUUGGGGGCAUUAGUAUUCAAUUGUCAGAGGUGAAAUUCUUGGAUUUAUUGAAGACUAACUACUGCGAAAGCAUUUGCCAAGGAUGUUUUCAUUAAUCAAGAACGAAAGUUAGGGGAUCGAAGACGAUCAGAUACCGUCGUAGU
rnacentral:rRNA from 1 species